GACGAACGCUGGCGGCGUGCUUAACACAUGCAAGUCGAACGGAAAGGCCUCUUUCGGGGGGUACUCGAGUGGCGAACGGGUGAGUAACACGUGAGUAACCUGCCCUUGACUUUGGGAUAACUUCAGGAAACUGGGGCUAAUACCGGAUAGGAGCUCCUGCUGCAUGGUGGGGGUUGGACAGUUUCGGGGGUUGGGGAUUGGCUCGCGGCUUAUCAGCUUGUUGGUGGGGUAGUGGGUUACCAAGGCUUUGACGGGUAGCCGGACUGGGAGGGUGACCGGCCACAUUGGGACUGAGGUACGGCCCAGACUCCUACGGGAGGCAGCAGGGGGGAAUAUUGAACAAUGGGUGGAAGCCUGAUGCAGCAACGCCGUGUGCGGGAUGACGGCCUUCGGGUUGUAAACCGCUUUCGCUCAUGACGAAGCUUUGUGUGACGGUAGUGGGUAAAGAAGCACCGGCUAACUACGUG
rnacentral:rRNA from 1 species